rnacentral:lncRNA from 1 species
UUGGGGGGUUAUUAUGAUUUUGUGAAUGGAGAAUUCAAGCUUUGGAAGUAUAUGUCUGUUGUUACUAAACCCAUUACCAUUCCCCUCAAAACCAAUGACUUGACUAUCUAAAUUCUCAAUGAAGGAUUCAAGCUUUGAACCGGUGACUAGUUUCUAUUGUGCUAUGUACUUUUAAAUCCUAAUUAAAUAAAGUAAUGUCUACCCUUGACAUUCCAAAAUUAAUGUAUUUUAAGUAUUUCUAGAUUUCAGGUUAUCCUCAAUAAUAAUAGUAUAGUUUUCAUGCUAAUGCUAAGUCAUUGAUAUAUUUGAGAGGAAAAAUAAUAUUAAAAGAUCAUGUAUGUUAUUGAAUUUUCAGAUAUCAAGGAUGCCAAAACCAUUGUGAUCAAGAAUGUAAAGAGUAUGCCUAAAAAAUGUAGUGUAUGUUAAACUUCUAAUAUUCACCUUUUUCAAAUAAAACUUCAAAUAUGUAUAAUUUUGUAUUUGUAUUUGUUCUACUAAAUAGAUGAAUCAUUAAUU